AUGCGUGAAUUUGUUCAAAGGAAGUCUGGACAAGUUGUCGCCCCUGAGAUUGGAAGAGAGUUCGACUCACUUGCGGAGGCAUUUGAAUUUUAUAAUCUUUAUUCUUGGGAGAUUGGGUUUGGCAUCAGAUAUGGUCAAUCUAGGACAAAUGCAAAGAAGAGCAGAACCGUUCAGGACAUCGUUUGCGGCUGUGCGGGAAGGCCAAAGAAAGAAAACACAAAGUCAGUAGCCUGCAACUGCCAAGCCUUGAUCAGGCUACACCGCACAGCCGACAAUGGAUGGUAUAUACAUGAUUUUAGAUCUGAACACAACCACCAUUUGUCCUCAUCGUGUGGCGAGAAACUACAUUGGCCAUCACACAGGAACAUUGACACACACACAAAAGAUAUUGUCAAGCACUUGAGGAGCAACAACAUUGGGAUAACCAAGGUUUUUUGUGUCAUGGCAAGCUUCUUUGGAUCAAUGGAGAGUGUACCAUUCAACAAGAGAGCUCUCAAGUACAUGUGCAAGAGGAUGAACCAAGAAACUGCAGAUGAUGACAUAAGGAAAACAGUUCAACUCUUCUCUGAACUUAAGAAGAAUGACCCAAUGUUUGCUGACAGUGUUCUUGUCGACGGCGACAGCAAGAUUCAGGCUCUUAUGUGGACAAAUGGAAGGAGUAGAUACCAAUACAAAAUGUUUGGCGAUGCAAUCACAUUCGACACAACAUAUCGUACAAACCAGUACGAUAUGCCAUUCGGACUAUUUGUUGGGGUCAACCAUCAUUUCCAGAGCAUAAUAUUAGGAGGCGUUAUGAUGAGGAACGAGAAGCAAGAAUCAUUCGAGUGGGUAUUCAAGGAAUUUGUGUCAUUAAUGGGAGGUAAAGCACCGGUAACUAUCCUAACAGACCAAUGCCGUGCCAUGGAGUUGGCUAUUGCUGAAGUAUUGCCUGGAACGAAGCACCGGUGGUGCAAAUGGCAUGUGCUGCGUCGUGCAAAGGAAUCCCUUGGCUCUGUAUACACACAGAACAAAGAUUUCAGGGAUGAACUACACAAGAUAUUGGAAUAUAUGCUCACUGUAGAAGAGUUCAAAGCAGCUUGGGCAAAGUUGAUUCAAAAGUAUGGUCUUCAGGAACACCCAAUGUUGACACAGAUAUACGAGCUCCGACAGAAAUGGGCAAAGCCAUAUUUUGCAGGUGUAUUCUGCGCGAGGAUGACAAGCACCCAACGGUCAGAGAGCGCUAACCACAUGUUGAAGAAUUUUGUACCUGCUGGUGCCUCAAUGCACAUGUUUGUUAGGAACUACCAGAAACUUCAGUUUGACCGUGAUUCAGAAGAAAAUUUUGCUGAGAAGAAAAGCCACUUGGUGAGCACAGUGCUCAAGACCGGUUUGCCUAUGGAGAGGCAUGCUGCGAAGGUUUACACACCUGCGCUGUUCAAACAGUUCCAAGAAGCAUGCUUCAAAUCUGCAUCCUACUACGUCGAGAACACUCUGGUCAUAAACGAUACAUAUUGUGUCACACACCUUUUUGCAGAGCGGAGAGAGAGCUGGUCAAAAACAUCUUACAAUGUCAAAGUGCAUCAACCUGAGAAUAUCUUCAAAUGCGAGUGUGGAAUGUAUGAGCAUAUGGGUUUGCUCUGCUGCCAUGCGAUCCGGGUAAUGGCACACUUGAAAUUCACGAAGAUACCAGAAGAGCACAUCAUGAGGAGGUGGACUAAAAACGCAUGUGAAGAUUUACCUGAGCACUUGAAAAUAUAUAAGGGACACAGCCCUAUCCUGGAAUCAACUACCUUCAGGCAUACAACACUUUACACAACAGCUCUUGAUAUUGUAAGGAUGGGUGACAGCAACCCUGAGGCCUUCGACCUUGCAAUGGUAAGGCUGUCAGAUGCAAGGGAUGAUCUCAAAGAAAAAGCAACUGAGAAAGAUGGCAAAGGACUAGAGGAUAUACUAGGUAAAGAAAACAUUGAUAUCAACGGGGUUGAUGCAGGCGACAUUAAUCUCAAAUCAUCAAUGAGGAUAGAAUCUCGCAAGAGAGAUCGUGGGCGACCUACCAACGCAAGAUCUAGGCCAGGCUAUGAAGUGAGCAAUCCAAGAACCAAGUUUUGUAAAACUUGCAGGGGAAAGGGACACAACUCUGGGAAGUGCCCAACAAAUGACGGAUCAAACAAGAAGCAGAGGAAAGAACCAAAGUGCGGGAAGUGUGGCGUACUUGGACACAUCAGGACACAAUGCAACAGAACAUUUGAAUCGUGGUUUAGAUGA
rnacentral:rRNA from 1 species